ACACUUACCUGGCAGGGGAGAUACCAUGAUCACAAAGGUGGUUUUCCCAGGGUGAGGCUUAUCCAUUGCUCUCCGGAUGUGCUGACCCCUGCGAUUUCUCCAAAUGUGGGAAACUCGACUGCAUAAUUUGUGGUAGUAGGGGACUGCGUUCGCACUCUCCCCCA
rnacentral:snRNA from 1 species